rnacentral:rRNA from 1 species
GUCCACGCCGUAACGAUGAAUACUAGGUGUCGGGAGCAUGGCUCUUCGGUGCCGUCGCAAACGCAGUAAGUAUUCCACCUGGGAGUACGUUCGCAAGAAUGAAACUCAAAGGAAUUGACGGGACCCGCACAAGCGGUGGAGCAUGUGGUUUAAUUCGAAGCAACGCGAAGAACCUUUACCAAGUCUUGACAUCCCCCUGACCGGAACUUAACCGUUCCUUCCUUCGGGACAGGGGAGACAGGUGGUGCAUGGUUGUCGU